rnacentral:rRNA from 1 species
GGUUAAGCGACUAAGCGUACACGGUGGAUGCCCUGGCAGUCAGAGGCGAUGAAGGACGUGCUAAUCUGCGAAAAGCGACGGCGAGGUGAUAUGAACCUUUGACCCGUCGAUGUCCGAAUGGGGAAACCCAGUGCAAUCCGUUGCACUAUCGUUAACUGAAUACAUAGGUUAACGAGGCGAACCGGGGGAACUGAAACAUCUAAGUACCCCGAGGAAAAGAAAUCAACCGAGAUUCCCCCAGUAGCGGCGAGCGAACGGGGAGCAGCCCGGAGUCUGAAUCAGCUUGUGUGUUAGUGGAACGGUCUGGAAAGUCCGACGGUACAGGGUGAUAGUCCCGUACACGAAAACACACUUGUUGUGAACUCGAAGAGUAGGGCGGGACACGUGGUAUCCUGUCUGAAUAUGGGGGGACCAUCCUCCAAGGCUAAAUACUCCUGACUGACCGAUAGUGAACCAGUACCGUGAGGGAAAGGCGAAAAGAACCCCGGCGAGGGGAGUGAAAAAGAACCUGAAACCGUGUACGUACAAGCAGUGGGAGCCUCUUUAUGGGGUGACUGCGUACCUUUUGUAUAAUGGGUCAGCGACUUAUAUUCUGUAGCAAGGUUAACCGUAUAGGGGAGCCGAAGGGAAACCGAGUCUUAACUGGGCGUUAAGUUGCAGGGUAUAGACCCGAAACCCGGUGAUCUAGCCAUGGGCAGGUUGAAGGUUGGGUAACACUAACUGGAGGACCGAACCGACUAAUGUUGAAAAAUUAGCGGAUGACCUGUGGCUGGGGGUGAAAGGCCAAUCAAACCGGGAGAUAGCUGGUUCUCCCCGAAAGCUAUUUAGGUAGCGCCUCGUGAACUCAUCUUCGGGGGUAGAGCACUGUUUCGGCUAGGGGGCCAUCCCGGCUUACCAACCCGAUGCAAACUACGAAUACCGAAGAAUGUUAUCACGGGAGACACACGGCGGGUGCUAACGUCCGUCGUGAAGAGGGAAACAACCCAGACCGCCAGCUAAGGUCCCAAAGUCAUGGUUAAGUGGGAAACGAUGUGGGAAGGCACAGACAGCCAGGAUGUUGGCUUAGAAGCAGCCAUCAUUUAAAGAAAGCGUAAUAGCUCACUGGUCGAGUCGGCCUGCGCGGAAGAUGUAACGGGGCUAAACCAUGCACCGAAGCUGCGGCAGCGACGCUUAUGCGUUGUUGGGUAGGGGAGCGUUCUGUAAGCCGUUGAAGGUGGCCUGUGAGGGUUGCUGGAGGUAUCAGAAGUGCGAAUGCUGACAUAAGUAACGAUAAAGCGGGUGAAAAGCCCGCUCGCCGGAAGACCAAGGGUUCCUGUCCAACGUUAAUCGGGGCAGGGUGAGUCGACCCCUAAGGCGAGGCCGAAAGGCGUAGUCGAUGGGAAACAGGUUAAUAUUCCUGUACUUGGUGUUACUGCGAAGGGGGGACGGAGAAGGCUAUGUCAGCCGGGCGACGGUUGUCCCGGUUUAAGCAUGUAGGCGGAGGUUCCAGGUAAAUCCGGUACCUUUUAACGCUGAGGUGUGAUGACGAGGCACUACGGUGCUGAAGUGAUAAAUGCCCUGCUUCCAGGAAAAGCCUCUAAGCAUCAGGUAACACGAAAUCGUACCCCAAACCGACACAGGUGGUCAGGUAGAGAAUACCAAGGCGCUUGAGAGAACUCGGGUGAAGGAACUAGGCAAAAUGGUGCCGUAACUUCGGGAGAAGGCACGCUGAUAUGUAGGUGAAGUCCCUGCGGACGGAGCUGAAAUCAGUCGAAGAUACCAGCUGGCUGCAACUGUUUAUUAAAAACACAGCACUGUGCAAACACGAAAGUGGACGUAUACGGUGUGACGCCUGCCCGGUGCCGGAAGGUUAAUUGAUGGGGUUAGCGGCAACGCGAAGCUCUUGAUCGAAGCCCCGGUAAACGGCGGCCGUAACUAUAACGGUCCUAAGGUAGCGAAAUUCCUUGUCGGGUAAGUUCCGACCUGCACGAAUGGCGUAAUGAUGGCCAGGCUGUCUCCACCCGAGACUCAGUGAAAUUGAACUCGCUGUGAAGAUGCAGUGUACCCGCGGCAAGACGGAAAGACCCCGUGAACCUUUACUAUAGCUUGACACUGAACACUGGUCCUUGAUGUGUAGGAUAGGUGGGAGGCUUUGAAGCGUGGACGCCAGUCUGCGUGGAGCCAACCUUGAAAUACCACCCUUUAAUGGCUGGUGUUCUAACGUAGACCCGUAAUCCGGGUUGCGGACAGUGUCUGGUGGGUAGUUUGACUGGGGCGGUCUCCUCCCAAAGAGUAACGGAGGAGCACGAAGGUUGGCUAAUCCUGGUCGGACAUCAGGAGGUUAGUGCAAUGGCAUAAGCCAGCUUGACUGCGAGCGUGACGGCGCGAGCAGGUGCGAAAGCAGGUCAUAGUGAUCCGGUGGUUCUGAAUGGAAGGGCCAUCGCUCAACGGAUAAAAGGUACUCCGGGGAUAACAGGCUGAUACCGCCCAAGAGUUCAUAUCGACGGCGGUGUUUGGCACCUCGAUGUCGGCUCAUCACAUCCUGGGGCUGAAGUAGGUCCCAAGGGUAUGGCUGUUCGCCAUUUAAAGUGGUACGCGAGCUGGGUUUAGAACGUCGUGAGACAGUUCGGUCCCUAUCUGCCGUGGGCGCUGGAGAAUUGAGGGGGGCUGCUCCUAGUACGAGAGGACCGGAGUGGACGCAUCACUGGUGUUCGGGUUGUCAUGCCAAUGGCACUGCCCGGUAGCUAAAUGCGGAAGAGAUAAGUGCUGAAAGCAUCUAAGCACGAAACUUGCCCCGAGAUGAGUUCUCCCUGAGACUUUAAGUCUCCUGAAGGAACGUUGAAGACGACGACGUUGAUAGGUCGGGUGUGUAAGCGCAGCGAUGCGUUGAGCUAACCGAUACUAAUGAACCGUGAGGCUUAACCUU